GAACGCUGGCGGCAGGCCUAACACAUGCAAGUCGAGCGGGUUUUCGGACCUAGCGGCGGACGGUGAGUAAUGCGUAGGAAGCUGCCCGAUAGAGGGGAUACCAGUUGGAAACGACUGUUAAUACCGCAUAAUGUCUACGGACCAAAGUGUGGGACCUUCGGGCCACAUGCUAUCGGAUGCGCCUACGUGGGAUUAGCUAGUUGGUGAGGUAAUGGCUCACCAAGGCGACGAUCUCUAGCUGGUUUGAGAGGAUGAUCAGCCACACUGGAACUGAGACACGGUCCAGACUCCUACGGGAGGCAGCAGUGGGGAAUAUUGGACAAUGGGCGCAAGCCUGAUCCAGCCAUGCCGCGUGUGUGAAGAAGGCCUUCGGGUUGUAAAGCACUUUCAGCGAGGAGGAAGGGUGGUGUGUUAAUAGCACAUCAUUUUGACGUUACUCGCAGAAGAAGCACCGGCUAACUCUGUG
rnacentral:rRNA from 1 species